GCCUACGGGAGGCAGCAGUGAGGAAUAUUGGUCAAUGGGCGAGAGCCUGAACCAGCCAAGUCGCGUGAAGGAUGACGGCCCUACGGGUUGUAAACUUCUUUUGUCAGGGAGCAAUUGGGUCCACGCGUGGGCUUAGCGAGAGUACCUGAAGAAAAAGCAUCGGCUAACUCCGUGCCAGCAGCCGCGGUAAUACGUAGGUGGCAAGCGUUAUCCGGAUUUAUUGGGUGUAAAGGGCGUGUAGGCGGGAUUGCAAGUCAGAUGUGAAAACCACGGGCUCAACCUGUGGCCUGCAUUUGAAACUGUAG
rnacentral:rRNA from 1 species